AUUGAACGCUGGCGGCAUGCUUUACACAUGCAAGUCGAACGGUAACAGGCCUUCGGGCGCUGACGAGUGGCGAACGGGUGAGUAAUGCAUCGGAACGUGCCCAGUCGUGGGGGAUAACUAUCCGAAAGGAUAGCUAAUACCGCAUACGAUCUGCGGAUGAAAGCGGGGGACCUUCGGGCCUCGCGCGAUUGGAGCGGCCGAUGUCAGAUUAGGUAGUUGGUGGGGUAAAGGCUCACCAAGCCAACGAUCUGUAGCUGGUCUGAGAGGACGACCAGCCACACUGGGACUGAGACACGGCCCAGACUCCUACGGGAGGCAGCAGUGGGGAAUUUUGGACAAUGGGCGCAAGCCUGAUCCAGCAAUGCCGCGUGCGGGAAGAAGGCCUUCGGGUUGUAAACUGCUUUUGUACGGAACGAAACGGCUCUGGUUAAUACCCGGGGCUAAUGACGGUACCGUAAGAAUAAGCACCGGCUAACUACGUGCCAGCCGCCGCAGUAAAAC
rnacentral:rRNA from 1 species